AUUGAACGCUGGCGGCAGGCCUAACACAUGCAAGUCGAACGAGUGGCGGACGGGUGAGUAAUGUCUGGGAAACUGCCCGAUGGAGGGGGAUAACUACUGGAAACGGUAGCUAAUACCGCAUACCAUCGGAUGUGCCCAGAUGGGAGUAGCUAGUAGGUGGGGGAACGGCUCACCUAGGCGACGAACCCUAGCUGGUCUGAGAGGAUGACCGGCCACACUGGAACUGAGAGACGGUCCAGACUCCUACGGGAGGCGGAAGAGGGGAAUAUUGGACAAUGGGGGCAAGCCGAAUGCAGCAAUGCCGCGUGGAUGAAGAAGGCCUUCGGGUUGUAAAGUACUUUCAGCGAGGAGGCGUUACUCGCAGAAGAAGCACCGGCUAACUCCGUGCCAGCAGCCGCGGUAAUAC
rnacentral:rRNA from 1 species